UACGAAGGGGGCUAGCGUUGUUCGGAAUUACUGGGCGUAAAGCGUAUGCAGGCGGAUCGUUAAGUCGGGGGUGAAAUCCCGAGGCUCAACCUCGGAACUGCCUUCGAUACUGGCGAUCUUCGAGUCCGGGAGAGGUGAGUGGAACUCCGAGUGUAGAGGUGAAAUUCGUAGAUAUUGGGAGGAACACCAGUGGCGAAGGCGGCUCACUGGACCGGUACUGACGCUGAUGCGCGAAAGCGUGGGGAGCAAACGGG
rnacentral:rRNA from 1 species